GACAGAGGGUGCAAACGUUGUUCGGAAUUACUGGGCGUAAAGCGUGUGUAGGCGGCUGCGCAAGUCGGAUGUGAAAGCCCCAGGCUCAACCUGGGAAGUGCACCCGAUACUGCGUAGCUUGAGUUUCGGAGAGGUUGGUGGAAUUCUCGGUGUAGAGGUGAAAUUCGUAGAUAUCGAGAGGAACACCGGUGGCGAAGGCGGCCAACUGGACGAAAACUGACGCUGAGACACGAAAGCGUGGGGAGCAAACAGG
rnacentral:rRNA from 1 species